rnacentral:rRNA from 1 species
GACGAACGCUGGCGGCGUGCUUAACACAUGCAAGUCGAACGGAAAGGCCCUGCUUUUGCGGGGUGCUCGAGUGGCGAACGGGUGAGUAACACGUGAGUAACCUGCCCUUGACUUUGGGAUAACUUCAGGAAACUGGGGCUAAUACCGGAUAGGAGCUCCUGCUGCAUGGUGGGGGUUGGAAAGUUUCGGCGGUUGGGGAUGGACUCGCGGCUUAUCAGCUUGUUGGUGGGGUAGUGGCUUACCAAGGCUUUGACGGGUAGCCGGCCUGAGAGGGUGACCGGCCACAAUGGGACUGAGAUACGGCGCAGACUCCUACGGGAGGCAGCAGUGGAGAAUAUUGCACAAUGGGCGGAAGCCUGAUGCAGCAACGCCGCGUGCGGGAUGACGGCCUUCGGGUUGUAAACCGCUUUCGCCUGUGACGAAGCGUGAGUGACGGUAAUGGGUAAAGAAGCACCGGCUAACUACGUG